AUUUGUGAAGUUUGUUUGCGGAAGCAAAUACGACUCACUCGCGAGCAGCAUGGCCCUCCUGGAUUAUUACGGUCACAAUACAGAGUGCAGACUGACGUGCGGCAACACGGUAAGCAAAUGUAUUUUACGUACAUUUAAGGGGUGAAAGUUUGUGUACCGCUGUGUAUCGGCUGUAAACUGCUGUUCUUUGAGGGUCUCUGAUAAAGCGCUAUAGGGGGACGCCCUCUGCCUCCUCGCUGAGAGAAGCCACCCUGAGAACAGCACACCCUGAGAACGGGCUGCAGUAUAGGUCAUAAAUCCCCCCCUCCACCAGCAAAAUUAGAAAAUUAGAAAUUAAUUUCACAGAACAUUCAUUUUUUCUCCCCCCUGCUUGUGAUGUUGACAUGUAGUUAUUGUAAGACUGGUUUGUGUUGAAGUCCUCUUUUUUUCUGUGCAGCUCCAUUUUUAAAAGUUAUUAGGGGGAUCAUGUUUUCUAUGAUUGACACUUGAUACAGCCCAUGAGCGUACAAAGAUUGCAUAGCUCACCCAUAUGGGGUGCCGUUUGUAAAGCAGCCCAUUAUAAAAACAACAGCAAGAUUUGGUCAUAUUUAGCAAAACAACAGCAAGAUUUAGUCACAUUUAGCUUCAAACAGCAUUUAAAAAAGUGAUGUGAAUUUUCGGCAGUCAUUUUUUUGCACAUUUACAACAACAUUUAAAUACUAAAACUAAAUGUUAAAUGUUAAAUCUAAAUGCUAAAUAUAAAUCUUAAAUAUAUAUGUUAAAUCUAAAUGUUAAAUCUAAAUCUAAAUGUUAAAUAUAAAUCUAAAUGUUAAAUCUAAAUGUUAAAUCUAAAUGUGUUGGGCGAAACUAAACAUUUAGCUAAUAUGCAAAUUCACGGUCGGAAACCGGAAGUGCCAAAAUAAAAGCUUCAGAAGACUUUUAGAAAGACUCGAGUUUUCAGUGUUGCUUCUCCGUAUGGCGCGGACACUGUACGAACCAUAGACUGUAUAUAAGAUACAUAUAUAUAGUCUAUACAUAUAUACUUAUAUACAGUCCAUGGUUUCUAACCCCGGCUUCCUGCGUCCCAGUCGUCCGCGUUACCCGUAUGGCCAAAGCACUUCAUGAAUAGACAAGGUGCCAUGGAGUAGUAUGACGUGUGCGCCUGCAUGUGUGUGUGCGUGUGUUCGUACAGUGUCCGCGCCAUACGGAGAAGCGACACUGAAAACUCGAGUCUUUCCAAUAAAGUUUUUGUUGUUGCUGUCGCUAUUGUAGGUAGUUAUUACCACGAAACGUCACCCCAAGUAUUUGUUCCCCCCUUAAAUUGGUUUUAAUUCGUUUUCUUCGACACAGGAAUCAUCAAUAUGACCUUCUGGAGCUUUUAUUUUGGCACUUCCGGUUUCCGACCGUGAAUUUGCAUAUUAGCUAAAUAUUUAGUUUCGCCCAACACAUUUAGAUGUAACAUUUAGAUUUAACAUUUAGAUUUAGAUUUAACAUUUAGAUUUAGAUUUAACAUUUAGAUUUAGAUUUAACAUUUAGAUUUAACAUAUAUAUUUAAGAUUUAUAUUUAGCAUUUAGAUUUAACAUUUAACAUUUAGUUUUAGUAUUUAAAUGUUGUUGUAAAUGUGCAAAAAAAUGACUGCCGAAAAUUCACAUCACGUUUUUAAAUGCUGUUUGAAGCUAAAUGUGACUAAAUCUUGCUGUUGUUUUGCUAAAUGUGACCAAAUCUUGCUGUUGUUUUUAUAAUGGGCUGCUUUACAAACGGCACCCCAUACACCCAGGGGAUAUGCUGUUUGAGCCGAGGGUGAUCACAGCGAGUCUCGGUGACUCUCCCGCCAAUGUUGGUUUCAGGAAGUGGAAAGUAAACGCGGAAUUACGAGAGCUUUGUGGCUUCAAAUCUGUAUACUGGCGGAAGGCGGAACCAAGUUGUCCAUAGUGUAUACACUCUAUGGGUUAACCCUAACCCUAAUCUGAUGCAUUAUUAUUAUUAUUAUUAUUAUGUCUUCCUGGUAUGGCGUACUGCUGCGUACCGGCUUACUUUCACUCCUGUAACCCAUGUAAAUUAACCUAAAUUUGCUGCUUCAGAGGCACAAGGUUCAGUCCUGGGCCCAUUUGAUUUACAUUUCACAUGAAUUGCUGCGGACAAAGUCAUAAUGUCAUAAUGUCUUUGCUGACAUUCACAGAAUCACACCUACUUCUGCUCUAGCUUUUGCAGAAAAUUAGCGUGCAUUUGAUUGAGUUCAAAAGCAGCUUUAUCAGCUGUCACAAAAGAUAUCUCAAACACUGCCCCUCACUUGCUCUCCAGUGUGUGCAUGCACCGCCUUUUUGACUGUCGGUUCAAACUUGCUGUCUUUUGGAAAGUCUGUUUGAAAAGUUGGAAAGAUUUGACAGCUUGGAUGAAGUUCUGACUUAUUGUUUGGCUGGAGUUCACUUCUUGCACUUCAUUCAGCAGUCAUCUAACCCCAAAUAACUUUUUCUGCAACAGCUAUACAUUUCAGCUACUUGUUAUUCAGGAUCCCACUCAAGCAGAGACACAGACAUUCAUGCCUACAUUCUUGUCCUCUACUCAUCCCUGCCUCCUGUAAUUCAUCAGUCGGAUGUAUGUGCACAUGCAAAAUUACUAUUAUGUUUCCUGUGUCGGCUGCACAUGCUGCUGCCUUCUCCCACUCAUUGUUUUCAAUAUCUUCAUCUGCCUUUCUUCAUCCCCAUCCUCUGCCAGAUGUCUCUCACAGCUUGUAAAUUGAUUGAUAAUACUGUCAUUUCCCAAACCGGGGGGGAUGGGGGAUUCACAAUCAAGCUGAGGGGUCCAGGGACGGGAGCAGGUUCUGGAUGUGAUGUGGCUGCAGCAACCAAACCUAUUCUCAGAAGGGCAAAUUUGAUUGGGGGCGAUUUUCAUCCCCGACUUCAGGGAGGAAAGGUUUAGGGCUGUUAUUGGCUUUGGAAUUACUAUGGCAACCACUGAGCUGAGUGCUCUCUGAGUGAAGGAAUGAGAUAUGUGUGUGUGUGUGUGUGUGUGUGUGUGUGUGUGUGUGUGUGUGUGUGUGUGUGUGUGUGUGUGCAUCUAGUGGGGGGUUGAGUAUUACAGUUUAAAUUGCCAUCCAGUAGGCCUAUAAUUGUAGCACGCUGUGUUUUUUCCUUUCAGCAUUAACCCUCCAACAAAGGAGCAGAUUUGCUGUGAUGUUAAAUCAGUGGCUCUUCCAACACUUGCAGUGUUUGUGUCCACUCUUAAAUACUGAAUAUUUUUCUAGUUUAGUUUGAAAAGAACAAAUUUCACAGAGAGACUUACUAAGGGUGUCUUGUCUCACAGGCCAAGUGAUAUUUUAGGAAAAACUUAAAACACUGAUCCAGCCAAAACUGUGAUGUUAUUUGAUAAAAGAGCAGUCUCUUGGUUUAAUAAUCUUCUUUGCACCUGUUGCUCCCCAAGCAAUGUGCAGUAAUACCAUUAAUAACAGUAACUGUUCACUGGUUCAAUUAAAUCAAAUGAACCUGACAUUAGAUUAAUCAGUCACACUCGUCUUUUCCUUCAGCUAAGGUCAAAAUGUCCACUGUGACUAAAGCUUCCAGGCUUGAAGUUGGAUAAGUGCUGUUGUGGAUCUGCUUACUGCUGUCUCUUACAAAACAAAAGACUCCUGCUCCUCUACUACGAACUGACUGUUGUAAAAGAAUCAGGAAGGAGUUUGGAGUAGUCACUGCUCCUUCACAUAGUAAGAGGGCAGAUGAAGAGGUCCAGUAUCUGAUACAGAUGCCUCCAGUCCAGCAUCUCCACUGUCAAAAUCCUUUUGAGGUGCACCUGACAAACUAGGACCCUUAAAAGUGGGCUGUUGCAAGAAUCCCUGCCCAAAAAUGAACAGUGUUUAAGUUAACGUGGUGUUGUUUUUUUCAAUAGACAUGAUGGGAGCAGGUUUUCUCAAGGUUCUCUUUGGAGUUGUGCGAAAGAUGACGAGAUUUCUCUCAAUGAAAUACUUAUAUUUAGGCGAUUACGUAUUUAAACAUACUGAUAAAUAUGAUAUCACAUUUCUACCAAGACUGCUCUGCUAAAUUUGAUAAAGAACAACCCACUGCACCAGUCAAUAGUGACACGAUAUAUUUUAAUUUUUAGCCAACAUUGAUAACCUAUAUAAUAAUUUUAUACCAAAGUCAAUACGAAUAAGAUAACCAAUAUAUAAACCUGAAAACUUGAAUGAGUAGCCGGCGAUUUUGUGUGCUCCAAUCUGUGAAAUUACCCAGUCUGGUGUGGAGGGAGAGACCUAGUUAAUUAUUUCCUCAGCGCCCCCUGGCGGGGCAGUUCCCCAUGGGCCCUUAAUGCAAAAACAGUACUGAGCAUGACUGCUCUCUUCUGCCUCCAUAAUGAUCUGUACAACAUACAGUAAGUGCAAGUCUCCACAAAGAUAGGAAGAAAGUAGAAUGGCUCACUUGCAUGUUGCUUGUGCAGAAUGCAGAUUGACUAUUUUUUCAUAUAUUGGUGUGUAACCUGAGACAUUACCUGGUAAUAACCUGGUUAUAACCUGAGACAUUACCUGGUAAUAACCUGGUUAUAACCUGAGACAUUACCUGGUAAUAACCUGGUUAUAACCUGAGACAUAACCUGGUUAUAACCUGAGACAUUACCUGGUAAUAACCUGGUUAUAACCUGGUUAUAACCUAGUUAUAACAUGAGACAUUACCUGGUUAUAACCUGGUUAUAACCUGGUUAUGAACUGAGACAUUACCUGGUUAUAACCUGGUUAUAACCGUAGACAUUACCUGGUUAUAACCUGGUUAUAACCUGAGACAUUCCCUGGUUAUAACCUGGUUAUAACCUGAGACAUUACCUGGUUAUAACCUGGUUAUAACCUGAGACAUUACCUGGUUAUAACCCGGUAAUAACCUAGUUAUAACCUGAGACAUUACCUGGUUAUAACCCGGUUAUUACCUGGUUAUAACCUGAGACAUUACCUGGUUAUAACCUGGUUAUAACCUGAGACAUUACCUGGUUAUAACCUGGUUAUAACCUGAGACAUUACCUGGUUAUAACCCGGUAAUAACCUAGUUAUAACCUGAGACAUUACCUGGUUAUAACCUGAGACAUUACCUGGUUAUAACCUGGUUAUAACCUGAGGCAUUACCUGGUUAUAACCUGGUUAUAACCUGAGACAUUACCUGGUUAUAACCUGGUUAUAACCUGAGACAUUACCUGGUUAUAACCUGAGGCAUUUCCUUGUUAUACCCUGGUUAUAACCUGAGACAUUACCUGCUUAUAACCUGGUAAUAACCUGGUAAUACCCUAGUUAUAACCUGAGACAUUACCUGGUUAUAACCUGGUUAUAACCUGAGACAUUACCUGGUUAUAACCUGGUAAUAACCUAGUUAUAACCUGAGACAUUACCUGGUUAUAACCUAGUAAUAACCUGGCAAUAACCUAGUCAUAACCUGAGACAUUACCUGGUUAUAACCUGGUUAUAACCUGACACAUUACCUGGUCAUAACCUGGUUAUAACCUGAGACAUUACCUGGUUAUAACCUGGUUAUAACCUGAGGCCUUACCUGGUUAUAACCUGGUUAUAACCUGAGACAUUACCUGGUUAUAACCUGAGACAUUACCUGGUUAUAACCUGGUUAUAACCUGAGACAUUACCUGGUUAUAACCUGAGACAUUACCUGGUUAUAACCUGGGUGUAACCUGAGACAGUACCUGGUUAUAACCUGAGACAUUCCCUGGUUAUAACCUAGUAAUAACCUAGUUAUAACCCGGGACAUUACCUGGUUAUAACCUGGUUAUAACCUGAGACAUUAUCUGGUAAUAACCUGGUUAUAACCUGAGACAUUACCUGGUAAUAACCUGGUUAUAACCUGGUUAUAACAUGAGACAUUACCUGGUAAUAACCUGGUUAUAAACUGAGACAUUACCGAAUUAUAACCUGGUUAUAGCCCGAGACAUUACCUGGUUAUAACCUGGUAAUAACCUAGUUAUAAACCGAGACAUUACCUGAGACAUUACCUGGUUAUAACCUGGUAAUUACCUGGUAAUAACGUAGUUAUAACCUGAGACAUUACCUGGUUAUAACCUGGUUAUUACCUGGUUAUAACCUGAGACAUUACCUGGUUAUAACCUGGUAAUUACCUAGUUAUAACUUGAGACAUUACCUGGUAAUAACCUGGUUAUAACGUGAGACAUUACCUGGUAAUAACCUGGUAAUAACCUGAGACAUUACCUGGUUAUAACCUGGUAAUAACCUGAUUAUAUCCUGGUAGUAACCUGUUAAUAACCUGAGACAUUACCAGGUAAUAACCUGGUAAUUACCUAAUUAUAACCUGAGACAUUACCUUGUAAUAAUAAUUACCUGCUAGAUGUUUUAUUCCUCAAGAUUGCUGAUUCGCCUCUUUAGCUGUCAAUCAAAAAAGGAUUUGGCCUCAGACAGCUCAUCCAAUCAUGGAUGCAGAAGCUCAGAGUCCAGGCGAAAGUUGGGACCGUCCUCUCGUCAUAGAACUCCAGAGAAGCUGAGCGUCCGAUGGGCGGGACAAAGCCCAGCAUUUAUCCAAUGAGCGUCUAGUUUUGCUGCUGGAACAACCCACUUUGAGCUUCCACAUUGAAGUCAGCAGACUCUGAGCGUCCGGCUGUGUGAAGCGCUGAGGCACUGCGAGGAUGAAUGAGAACGAAGUUGUGCUGGUUACCUGUGAUUAUCAGCUUCUUAUCACAGUGUCUGAACAAAAGAUGAAGGCUUUCUAGCGCGUAUUUAGUUAAUGAAAUGAACACACAGCAGUACGUAUUUCACCACUUUUUCUUUUUUUGGGGGGGUGACAUUUUAAGGGAAGCUGAGCUUCCCUUGCAGUCUUAGAGCAAUCGCCACUGUUCCAGAUCUCAUGUAUCGAUCUUUCUUUGUAAAUAUGGAUACAUGUUCCUCCAGAACACAUAAAAUUAAGUGUGGGGUCCCCCAAGGGUCAAUUUUAGGCCCACUUCUUUUUAAUCUUUACACAUUUCCUUUGGGGGAUGUCAUCAGGAGGCACGGUAUCAGUUUCCACAGUUACGCUGAUGAUACGCAGUUGUACAUUGCUGUGUCUCCUGAUGACACAGGGCCAGUUGAUGCCCUUUUUAACUGCAUUUCAGAUAUUAAGUCAUGGAUGGCAGAUAAUUUCCUCCAACUCAACCAGAAUAAAACAGAGGUUUUAGUCAUUGGUCCUGAAGGCCUGAGAGAGAAACUUUUACCAAAACUACAAGAUUUUAAACCCUCACAAUGUGUUAAGAACCUGGGCGUUAUUGUUGACUCUGAGCUCACUUUUAUUCCCCACAUUAAGAACAUCAUGAAGAUAGGUUUUUACCAUCUCAAGAAUAUAGCCAGAGUCCGCCCGUUUCUAUCUCAGGCCAGCACGGAGGUGCUCAUGCAUGCUUUUAUUUCGAGCCGCCUAGAUUAUUGUAAUGCCCUGCUCUCUGGUCUUCCCAAAAAAAGCAUUAGUAGCUUACAACUACUACAAAACUCAGCCGCUCGUGUGCUGACGAGGACCAGAGGGCGGGAGCACAUUACACCCGUUUUGAAAUCACUGCAUUGGCUCCCCGUCCGCUUCAGGUUUUAAGAUUCUUUUGCUGGUUUAUAAAUGUUUUAAUGGUCUUGGGCCGUCUUAUUUAUCUGACCUGCUUUUAGCAUAUCAGCCCUCGCAGACCCUGAGGUCCUCUGGUACCGGCCUUUUAACUGUCCCACGAACCACGACAAAGACGCACGGUGAGGCUGCCUUCAGCCAUUAUGGCCCUUACUGGUGGAACAGCCUGCCAGAGACCCUCAGGGCCACACCUUUUUAGUCUGCCGUUUAACUGAUCUUAUUUAAAACAUUAUUUUUAUCUGUUUUAAUCUUUUAGUUCCUAGCGUUUAACUGAUUUUGUUUAAAAUAUCAUUUUAUUUGUUUUAAUCUUUUAGUUCCUAGCGUUUAACUGAUUUUAUUUAAAACAUUAUUUUAUGUGUUUUAAUCUUUUAGUUCCUAGCUCCAGUGUCUCCUCAUGCGUUCUUCCUCACCGGGACCCUCGGUACAAAGCCAUGAUAAAAUGCAAAACAACCAAGCACUGUCCUGUGUGUGUAUGUUUGUGUGUGGGUGUGUGGGUGGGUGUGCGUGUGCGUGUGUAAGUGAUCGUGUAUCUGUGUGUGGGCGUUGGAAGGAGGGGUUUUAUUUUUAUUUAUUCUUAUCUUAUCAUUCUGUAAAGCACUUUGUGCUACUCCUAUGUAUGACAAGUGCUAUACAAAUAAAAUAAAUUUGAAUUUAGUGAAAGUGGUAAGUUUGGGCCACCCUGCUUAAGGUUGCCACUUGCCAGCAGGCCAGAUUUUCCCUGAUGGCUGGCAGUUGAAUAUGCAGAAAUGGCCUCUUUGAGUGACAGGUGGAAGCUGUUAGCUGUCUGCUGGCUGUCAUAUUUAACUGAGUGGCGUUGGAGCGUUUUGGAGACUCUUUGCUGUGUGCUCUGUUGGACUAAUAGACCAUUUUAGAAGUGUGACACCCAGUUUUUACACCCAGUCAAAUUAAAACAUUAUUCUAAUUAUAUUUUGGUGCUAAUAACCAGGUUUCUGAGUCUAUGCUCACUGUACCUGAUGUGUCUUUAACACAUUGCUUUAAUUUCUUUUAACAAAAUAGUCACCUUCGAGUCUGGACAAUUGUUACGGCUGUAUGUUGCUUGUGCCUUUUUUCCCCUUUUUGUCUUCUCUAGCUCUGCCCAGGUGAUCUUACUGUUUGACAAUCAGCCUCACAUGGUCCUGAGAGUUUAAAACCCAAGAGCUGCCUGCAGGAAGGAGAGGCAUUUAGAGGGGAACAGCUGUAGCCUCUCAUUUAGGGAAUCCUUGUGUUUUGGUUCUUUGUGUUUUAGUUGUCUUCUUGAUUUGUUCUUUAGUUAAUCUUUGGUAAAGUUUGGAUUUUUCUUUAGAUUUUUUAAGAUAAUAUUUGUCAUGAUUUGAUACUAAACUGUUGAUGUAGAAAAGCUGAUCAUUGAAUUUCAACAACCUUUGGUGGAACAGUGUGUUUAGCUACCUGCUAUCUGUAGCGAUUUGCAAUGAGCCUCACAAGGCCGCACCAAAAUAAUACUGUAGCGAUUGGAAUUUAUAAUAAAUGUCUGAAGAUUAAUAAUCUCAAAUUAUGACAUUUAUGCACUCGUUGAAAGGGGCACCACCCACCCUUAAUGGUGGGAAAAUAAAGAAAAACAAAAGUUUAAUUCAGAAAUCAAACAUCAAGUCAGUUUUAAUUAAUCAGUCUCAUAUCUUAAGUCGAAAUUCUAAUUUCAGGGACUCCACUUCUGGAAGAACACUAACAGUCAAGAACUUAGAAAAAUAAUGAUCUGUUUAUUACAGGAUAAAUGAUGGUACAACACACAUGCAAUAAAUGAUGAUAAGAUAAUGAGGAUAAAUAAUAAUAGGUGAAUAAAUAAAGAUUCUGAGUCAGGCUAGGAGCACUAAAGUUAAUGAUAGUGAGUGAAUAUGCGCUAACAUAUUAACCUACGCUAACUUUGGUGUCGAGAUAACUCGGAUGUGGAUUUGGAGGAAUCUAAGAUUGCCAGAAUAAGUGGAUAUCUGAGUUAUGAACGCAGGAGACAGCAUCAGCCCUCUUUGGAGGUUUGCAUACUUAAGUGAGACUGGUCCUUGGAGAAGAUGGAGCAGGUUCCGAAGGACCGGGCUACUGGCGGUUCGAGCGGUUCAGCUCAGAAGAUGACUGAAGUCAGCCGAAGGAUGAGCCAGGAGUUGCAGCACUCGGGCCCGAAGCAAAGCCAGCGCCUGUGGAUCCUGUGGAUGCUCGUUUGGGUACUUCUUUGGUCUCACUCAAAAACUCUGGCACAGAGGAUGACCUGGGCCUGCUGGGUUGCGUUCAGAGGUGACUUUGAAUCACGCAGAUAACUCAGAAAAACGAGACUCGAGCAGAGAAAACUUUCAAAAAUGGCUUCGCGAAAUUAAAGAAAAAUCAAUCAAAGGCUUAAUCUUGAAUUGCUAUGUGCACAAAAAGUUGAAGUUUCAAAACUUGAACUAAGACGAUGUUAAAGAAAAUCAACGUGAAUCAACACGUGGCGUAAAACUUAGAAGACUAAGAAAAAGUUCUAAGAGAAAACAAAGAAACGCACCACAGAAGGGUGUGGGCAGAAGAAAAGGGGCAUAAGAGCCGGGGACAAGAGCAGAAGCAUAAGAGUGAACAAGAGAGUGAGCAACCCCACUUCACUGGUUUUAUCUUCUCACACUGGGAGUGUUUCCGGGGUGUGUGUGUGAGGAGAAAGGAGGGGUCGUGGAAUCUCUGAUUAUUUGAUCUAACUUAUUCUUUUGGCUGGUAAAAGAGUCAGAUCUGAUACUCACUCACUAUGAUUAAUAUCAUUGAAUGCUAGGUUUCAUGAUAAAUAAUUUGAUACUAAACACAUAUGAAUGAAGUGUAGGAUCACAUCAAACAUUCUCAUUAUGUUUUAAGUAUCACAUUGAACAUGCUAAAUUACUCUGAAAUGAAACAGAUAGUAACACAUGGAAACUGUGAACAACAAAAGAGUAAACACAUGUGAAUGAACUUCAUCAUGAUUAAUAAUGGAUUCUAAAUACUCACAUUCAGAUUAUUCAAUGACAUUAUAACCACCUAAUGGUUAAAAAUACUAAAUAAACAUCUACAAUAUGAACCAAACAUUUCUAAACUGUUUCUGUGUUCAUAGAGUAAGUUAUGAUCCAUAGUCAAUAAAUUUAACUCUUAACAGUUCAUGAAACAGUCUGAAAAGCUGUUGGUCUAAAGAAACUAAAGAAUAAAGGAUUUAUUCUAUCAGAUUGAUAACUCGGCUUCUGAAGCACAUAGAAAAAUGGGAAACAUCUCAUUUUAACACAAAUUUCAUGAUUAGACAGAUUAGUACAUUGCUGAAUGCAUAAGAUGUCAUGAUCAGUCAUUUGUAUUCUUUCACCAAAGGAAUGUAGUCUUUAUCAGUGUAUGGUCGAGCAGGGUUUUACGACCGAGGUCUGGAGGUCAGUGCCCCCCCUUUUCCUGGGGUCCGUAUGUUCACACACUUUAAGACGCUAAAUCUCAAAUGGGAGAUCUGGGUUGAGGUUAAUGUUUAUUUAGAUGGUCAGCGAUGGAGUCAGUUUGAAAGGUAAUAAAAACUCUGUCUCUGUUCUCCGAAUCGACCAAUCGUGAAGAGUCAGAGGUUUAGUCAACCUCCGGUUGGGUCACUUAUUUAACCUGAAAGUGUAAACGAGUCUGGAAAGAUUUAUAUCCUGUGUCCUGGGACCAGAUAAGGAAACUUUCCUGUGAGGAAUGUGUGAGAUUCACACCCAGGGUUGUCUUGAUUGCUACAUAUCCAAUUCUGCUAAAACUCAUCAGGUGGUGCGAUAUCCUGAAACAGCAUUAAACAGUUAAAAAUUAGUUGUCUGACUAAACUACAAGGUUUAUAUUGGUGAUGGUUCCAACCACAGUAAUACCCCCUCUCUAAAGGGCUCAAGGGUCACAAACAUAUCACAGGGGUUGUGGUAUGACUAACACCAGCUGGAUUCUGGUACAAUCUUCCUCCCAAUGUCUUCCACUCUCCCUGCACAGCUGAUGUCUAUGAUAGAUGAGCUCCCCUUCUUAAAGAGAAUAGGAUUGUCUCCUGAUAACAUCAACUCCUGACAUUGUUAUAAUACCCGAAAGCAUUCCUUUUGUAAAAAAAGGACAUAAAACACGGCUAUAAUUAACUAUGCUUUAUAUUAUGUGAUUAGUAAAUUGGCAAUAUUUGUUCUUCUGCUUGUUAACAAAGAGGCAAAAAUGCCUGUUUCAGUUUCAAACUGGGAAACAUCAUUACAAAAUUUAGCUUUCUUUUGCAUGCUUAGAUAUUGGGUCCUGUCUUGCAAUCCAGGCACUAGAUGCACUAGACCUUGUUGUAUUCGAUUUUGACAUCUAGUAUAUGUAUCUAUAUGAUGAUUGCAGGCCAAUGGAGAAUUUGCCUGGGAUUUAUGGUUUAGCAGCAAGUUAGACAUGAAGAUAAAUUUUGAUCUACAAAUAACAUUUCUUUGAAAUUUUGCAAUGGCUCCUCAUUUUUUUCAAUUAUCACAGUACAGCAUACAGCAGGUGUACACAAGGAGGUUGGUACUGUGUUUAUCACCUGGCUGCAGCAGCAUUAAUGAUCAGGAACUGCUUUGUUGGACUGAUCCCCCGUGACCCUGUCAUCGCAUUCACCCUGUGACCCCCAACCAAUAAAAUGGGCGACCCUCUGCCUUCAUCCUGCAGCUUAACCAUGGUGAUCACAUACACUUCAGCACUAAACUCUGCGAGUGCCGAGCAAUGCUGUCAAACCCUCAAUGUCACUGUUACCAUAACAACCCAGGGGACACUUGCCACGGGUGAGGGGAAUGAGAGUGGAGAAGGGGUCUAUAAAGGUGUAUGUGUUGUCUUUUUUUAUGGCACAUCAGGUGGUCAGUGUUGCAGAAAAGACAUUUUAAAACACUUAGAGUCAGUUGAAGCUUGCAGGAAGUGUGUGUAAUGAGCCUUUAGAGGUCAGCUGGUGGAGGGAAAAAAACAGUGGAAACACCUAAAAAAGAAUAUUUGGUCUCACUUUACUUGACGCCUAUCUCUAUAACGCAUUAUAAAUAUAUGUAUAAUGCGUUAUAAUCACGUUGUAGUACUGUAUAACUAUAGUUAUAAACACUCAUAAAUGAUCAUAAUGCUUUAUAGCAAUAAUCAUAACACAUUAUAAAGCAUUUUAUCAUGACUUACAAGGUCAGGUAUUAUAAUGUGUUAUGCUUAUUGUUAUAAAGCCUUGUGAUAAUUAAUGAGUGUUUAUAAUGAUAGUUAUACAAGUUUAUAAGCAAACUAUAACACAUCAUAAAUAUAUAUAUAAUGUAUUAUCUAUGUGGGCAUUGUCAGUGAGUUGUUAACAGUUAUAACACAUUAUAAUACCUGACCUUGUAAGUCAUGAUAAAAUGCUUUAUAAUGUGUUAUGAUUGUUGCUAUAAAGCAUUAUGAUCAUUAAUGAGUGUUUAUAGUUAUACAGUGCUAUAAUGUGAUUAUAACGCAUUAUAAAUAUAUUUAUAAUGCGUUAGAGACAGGCGUCAAGUAAAGUGUUACUGAAUAUUCUAUUUUGAAUGUGAGCUCUGUUUUUGCUUAUUCUGACCAAGUUAUUUUCUUGAAGACAGUAUCAUUUAUAUAAUCACAGCUUAUAAUACUGUGAGUGAUAAAUGCCAAUAUCAUACACAGCCCAGAUUUUCAGCGUAUGGUCAUAAAGAUAGAGCUUAAGUUGAAAAAUUUUCAUAAUAGAAGAUGUCAAUACCAUCUUCUCUAAAUGCUGUAGCUCAAACCUAAUAAACUACUGAUCUUUAAAUGUGACAGGUGCUUGAAUAGUGUCUAUAAUGAAAUGUCAUGCUUUGCUCUCCUCAUCAUGAGGCAGCUCUCCCUCGCUCUCCUGUUUCCUCUUAUAACAUUCACUUUCUACCAAGACUGAAAUAGAGUGUAGUCUAUCUUUGGAGAAACUCUGUUUAUUAUCUUGGGUCAACAGCAGUACACAGCCAGUUUGAUUCUUCUGUCAACAACAUUGUGCUCUACUGACAUUCAGUGAACAUUAUUAAAACUUUAAAACUUGACCAAAGUUGCAGCGUAUAAGACACUGUUAGUUAUCACCAUAUGACUCAUUCAUCUCACAGUCUGAUCACAGUAGGGAACUGCCUGACGUAUCUCACAUGAUUAUUAUUGUCCUCAUAACCCUCCUACGACAGCCCAGCUGCAGUUCUUUUGAAAUAAUUUCUAUUAUCUACAACAUUUUUGAUAUUGAGACUUUAAUAAAUGGAUGUUUAACCAGGGUAGACACACGUAGUCAAUUGAUAUGACAUAUCUCUUAAAACAAAAGUGAAAAAAUCCUCUAAAAUUCAGUUAUCCAAAUGUGUAAUCAUCUUUACACCGGCACAUGUUCUGUUCAGAUUGGCGAAGUGGGUUACAAUCCCCCAAUGUUACAGUGUCCUUUAGCUGACGCAUUUGUUCACAAGCAAGAGAAGGAAACAACAUGAGUAAGAGGCAAAAACAGUUUGAGAGCAAUAGGGCAUAGUGAUGUCCUGCAGUUAAUGAGGCUGUGCACUUUUUCCUUUUUUAUUCCAAAGUGAAUCACCAACCAAAGAAAGCCUCAAUGACUCUGUCAUCAUCGUCACCAUCUAUUGUCGUCAUUAUCAUUAUCAUCAUCAUUACAAUCACCAUCAUCAGUAUCAGGUGCACCAAGUACAGAAACAUUCACAAAGAGCUGGGCAAAGCGUCUUGAAUUGGACGUUAUUUCAUUCAUUCUACCACUGGGGACAACACAGUAGAGUCUGGGCAGUGAGUCUGAGCCUUGUUGUGAUGGAAGCCCCAGGCACCUUUCAUUGGCAGAGCGUAACGGGUGGGAGGGAGUGUAGACCUGUAUGGGGGACUGGAGAUAAGCAGGAGCUGGUUAGGUGGCAAUUUUGUAGGCAAGAAGGAGGGCUAUUUGAUGCAGGCUACUGGAGAGAGGUGUACAGUGUGUAGUUUUGGGUUGGUUGAAAACAAGACGGGCUGCUGCUUUUUGGAUCAUCUGCAGAGGUUUGAUUGUGAAAUCAAAAGGAGGCCUCUGAGCAAAGUGUUGCAGUAGUCAAUGUGUGAUAUUACGAGGGUCUGUACUGAGAAGUGUUGUGUUUCCUGUUAGGUAAAUCUGCAAGACCGAGUAACCAGGGCAACAUGAACCUUAAAGGUUAGUUGGUCAUCAAUCUUGGGACCCAGAUUCAGAGCAAGAACAUUGUUCAUUUGAUCCAAGCUGGAUACAGAUACGUGGUUGUAGAGAGGGACUUGCUGGAAUAACAAGCAGCUCAGUUGUGGACAGGUUGAGCUGUAUCGAUGGUGUUCCUUCAUCCAUUUCGAAAAAAUCACUGAGGCAUGAUAAGACUCAGGCUGAGGCAGUUGUGUUAUCUGGAGAGAAUGAUAGGAAGAGCCGGGUAUCAUCUGCAUAGCAGCUGAAAUUUAAUUCCACUUCUCUUACAGCACUGAAACAAUCACGUGAAAUCUCAAAAUCUUCCUGUACUGUGAAGUAUCACUCACACACUCACUAGUCAGGUAAAAAAAACUUUUAAUUUAUCAUCUCGAUGAGUGUUCUGUUGGGAUGAUAUGAUACCUAUUGAUUAAUUCAAAUUGGGAAUUACUUUAACUUUGUUGACUCAUAGAUCAGUCCACCAAGAUUGUCCUUUCUGACUGUUUCUUAUACUCAUAGCUGCAAAACUGCUGUCCAUUUACACUUUAAAUAACAACCAACUCCAUGGUUUCAAAAUAUUUGAGAGAAAGAUUAAUAUAAUCCAGUUAACUGAUGAUAUGGUAUCAAUAUGAAAAAGCUGUUCUUAUGAUUAGAACCCUUUUCCUCUGGCUCAACCUUUAAUACUACCAAAUUAGAAGUUUAGUUGUUUUGUACCUCAAAUUAAAAUGAUCAUUUGCAAUAUUUCUCUUAAAGUGUAAAAGUUCAAGAAUGAAAAAUUUAAAAAAUUGGUUUUUUAUGUGUGGUUACCAUGAGCUUUGUAUUUAUUGGCUCGGAUUCCUCAAAGUAAAGAGAACGAUGGUGAUCGACUUAUCAUCUGCUGCUCCAAAUACCGACAGGUUAUACAUCGCUUGGUCUCCAGGAACAGACUUUGAGAAACGUAUAUCUGACUGUCCAGAGUCCCAGCAUUAACAUUCACACUAUGUUGAUCAGCUCUGCACAGCCUGAGUAAACAUCCAGGGAAGUCAGACAACUAACUGCUCUUUUAUGAAAAAGCCUUUGCAGUUUAUUUACUAACCAGAAUGCACUUUGAGAUCUGACUCUUUUUAGUCAGCCCCAAUUUCCUGUUAAGGAGACAUCAGCAAGAGAUUGCUUGUGCUGAGGCGAGCUUUGUUUGUUGUCCGGAUUAAUCAGUCCUGAUAAGAGGAAGGGGGAAAAAAUGUUUCUGUUACGGAUUAGACGGCAUACCUUGAGGUUGCCAUAGUGACUGGCAGGCAGCAGACACCUGUGAAUUAACAUUUGUGCCGCAGCACAGGGAUCUUAAUUAGUGACGCGGGUCAAAAGCAGAAUGGACGCACAUUACCCUGGCCCUUUGUCGACUCAGUGUAUCUAUAAAAUCAAAGAGAUGAACCGGUGCUAUAAAAUGAGCCUUUUAUGACAUUUAAAUCAGACUAAAGGGUGAAAGCUGGUAAAACAGAUGAUUGUCCACAGGUAGAUUUUUAUUUUUUUGUCUACCCAUUUCAUUUCUUACAUUAUUAAAAAACUGACCACACAUGCCAGCAACUGAAACCUUGAGAAAUUUGUCACAGAAUGAUUGAAAUUUCUGCAUGCAUUGUUAAUUACAGGCCAAAAGAAACCUGUGAGGAUUUUCUGACGUUAGUCUUACCAUUAAACUCAACAAUCUCAGUAGACUCACACCUGAUGGACCUAAAAGCUGAAGAAAAGACUUAAAAACACAGCAACCAUAGUGUGAUGCUUACCUUUUUCUCUUUAAGUCAGUAAAAGCCUAUAAAAACCUGUUCUUAAGCUCAUUUUUAUCUAAUCAUCUCUUUGAACAAAACUAUUUUACAGUUAAACAAUGGAACUCUUUUAUAAUUUGUAUGACAAUAUGGACUUGCUGAUUUGGAUAACUUAACAAAGGGCUUUGUAGACAUGCAUUCAAAUAUUUUCUUUACACAGCUUAUCAGUAAUAUUGAGUUAAUUUUUAUGGUUUUCCCAAGUUAUCCCCUUUAUUUAUUUUUGUUAUAUUAAGAUAACAUGAAAAUCAGACACCUUUCUGUUAUUUUUAACAUGGCAAAGCUUGUGCUGACAGGAGUUGAGCUCUUGAGGAAAAAACUGAAAUUCCAAAUUUCCCAAGAAAAAAAAUUGUCUUUAAUGAGGAAAGUUGAGCAAGAUCCUGUCUUGCAAUCCAGGCAACAGCAGCAAAACAACUCUGAGUUGCAGAUCGAUAAGUGAUGGUGAUAGUGGCAACAGUGUAAAUGUUGUUGACAUUUGCAUCAUUUCUACUUAAAUGUGGUGGACUGCUAAGCUCCGAAGAGAGGUUAAGCUGAUUGAGGGCUGAAAUGUUUACAUGAUAAUUCCUGCAGGAGUCUCUCAUAACGGAAAUGUUCAGUUUGAUGAAAUUUCUAACAAGAAAGUAGGUUAGAAAUUCACAGGACCAUGUUGUGGGGUGUUCUGUUCAAUAUCAGUUUUCACUGUAAGAAGGCUGAUAAGAAUCCUUUACCAUGAAUUAAACGACUGUUUCUUUUAGCAGUUUAAAUAAAUCUUUUUUAAUUGAUGUCAAGCUGUGUUGGCCUAUUCACUUUCUCACCAGUAAAUGUCAUCUCUGCUUGAGUUUAAGAUCAACUGCACAAUGUGAAUGCAGCCUCAUAGUUUAUAAUUGCAAAAUAAACAUCCUUUGGGUGUUGCGUGACAAACUGUUCCCCAGGAUACGGUUUUCAGUCUGCCAACACAUUAUAAAGUGUUUACUUACCACGUGUGUGCUCACUGUGCUGUGUGUCUAGGUGGAGCAGCACGGGACAGUGAUGUUUGGAGAGUUCAGAUGAGGACAGGAAAGAAAUAACACGACCGCAUUGGACAAAAACAAUCUGCUGAGAGAGAGAAAUGACAACCAUGAACCCACAGACCUCUAGUGACCUGUGCUAUCUGUAAGGUAUUUGGAAAGUUGUUGUUUUUUUUCCAUUUUGCCCAGCUUUUGAAGUUGUAAAUUUGUACAGGGUACGAGAUGCUCUAUCAUUUCAUUAGAUUUGGAGAAGAUGAACCCCCCCCCAAAACAAGCCCUUUGACAUGCAAUAAAAUUGGCAUCUUUACAAUACACUGUAGUAGCAGGAAACCGGAUCACUACUCCUUCAAAAAGAAGAAACUAGGCUGACAAAAGGAAAAAUGAAAGCAACCAAGACAAGGUAGCACAAGAAGAAUAUAGGUCCAGAUUCAAAAUGCUGGGAAUAUGUCAAACACAGCUACACAAACAUGAGUAAAAAAGGAGAACAGAAUUAAGGCCAACUACAACGCUGAAAUGAAUCAAAAAAAUCAAAAAGCAUCAAAAAAUAAAUCUAAUCAAUACACUUUUUUCUAUCUGCUAAAAUGUUUGUUUGUUUUUGUUUUUCUUACUGCACAGUGGGGGAUGUGUUCCUCAUGUACCAACCCAGUUCAUAAAAUAGUCACAAAAUGUCUCCACAUAGACACAAAUUUUCUCAAAUGUUGUUGAAAACCAACACAGUAAAUAAUAAUAAUAAUAUGCGUCUGCCGAAAUAAGUUCCAAAUUAAACCUCAACCUGCUAAUACUAUCAAGAAUACUGCAGGAGCUGUCAAUCACGAGGCCACACCCCCUUAUUAUUAUAACAUCGAUUCAAACAGAACUCAAAGAAAAUGUUAUUUUUAGAGGCAAAUGUCAUAAGUAUUUUAAUUGUCCAGUUUGACUCUGGUUCUUUCUGUGAACAUGUAGAAGGGUAGACAUUACUUACACUGCAGCCAGUCACUUUGGAAAGCUCCAGAUGUAUGGCUUCUCUUUUGGGGAAGGGUUGUGCUGUCCACCCUGUCUGUGCUUGUAACACACUGGCUAUAGUCUUGAGACAACACAUCAACAUAUAAUCUGUGAGCAAUAAGCGCUCAACCCUUGUGUUGUCCUAGUUAUCUGUUUACCUUUACCUUUGUGCCUAAUAUGAUCCGCCCUGAUUAAACCUCAAAAUAAAGCAGCCUUAUUAAAUUAAAAACAUUUACAAAAAUCUCUUACAUGAACAACUUUUUUUUUCACGAAUACCUGAGUUUUGUAUUUAAGAAUAAAUUUGUACCUUCUUUUAGUACAACACAGCAGUCAUAAUUCAUGUAUUCACAGUUCAUUAGAAUGAUUUUCAUAAUGAUGAAGAUUAUUCAUGAAUGAUUUAUGAACGUUAUUGUUAAGUGUGAUUAAUUUUUACAAGUUCCCUAAAGGAAAUCUGUGUCUUGAAAACAAAACCACCUCUCUGCAGCUGCUGGGAUGUUUUCUUCAUCUAAAGAUGAUGCUAUUUUCUGUUAAAUCUUCAACUUCCCCUAAAACUUUGUAAACUUGUUCCUGGUCAUUUUGAAAAAAAAAAAAAAAAAAAAAAGUUAUUCUUAGUUUGACAUUGUCUUGCGUACUUGUGGCUUUUGCAAAGAGAGAACUGGAUGUACUUCCAUGAGCUCCAUUUUUAGAGCAAAUGACACCACUUUGACGAUGUUCUCCAAAGCUUUGAAUCAAGGUUUUGUAUCAUCUAAAAUGUAAUUUACUUACUUGCACACUUUUCAGUCAGUAGCAUCCACAUAGCCAAUUUCUCUGUCUGCAUAUGUGUGUGUGUGUGUGUGUGUGUGUGUGUGUGUGUGUGUGUGUGUGUGUGUGUGUGUGUGUGUGUGUGAGAAAGAGAAAGUAUUUCUUCACAGUAGGCCUUUUCUUGCUUUCAUACCUGUCAGGUAAAAAAAAGGCCUGAAGGAUGAUGGUUGUGCUCUGCUGGUGUAUCCCACUCCAUUAAUCACUACACAGACUGUUCUCCUGUAUUCACCCAAAGCCCACGAAAACUCUGCACCUCAUUCCACAAACAUAAGCCAGAACAACUCUGACUCCAAACUCAUUUAAUAGACACUGUCUCAGCACUUAUAGUGAUUAUUUCCGGACAUAACAAAGUCAUUUUGAGACCUGAAUCUAUGACCUUAUACAUCCCAUGCACCAUUUAAUAACCCAAACCAUGCAUUAGACACUUAUCUCACACCUUAGUGCUGCUGUGGUCUUUCAGUGUAAGGGUUGGCCUGAAGUAAGCCAAGACAGGAAUAUGAGGUAUUGUUUCUGAAAGAGAGCCUGUGAUGAUGAUAGGAGCCCUGACAUUGUGAGCAUGAUUACCACAACAAAGACUGUAAUUGUCGGAGCAACGGUGAAUAGAUCCUUCAGAAAAUCUGCUAUAUGCCCCCUUCAUCAUCUGUAAUCGACACACAUGAUGUGUGACAUUAAAGUAUAUGCAAAGGUACUCAUAACAGGUCCGGAAAACAUGUUUUGUUUCUAAAUAAAGUCCAGAAAGGAACCAGGAUAAGCUCUCAGGAGGACAGAAAUAAAGAGUUUGAUGACGAUAAUUGUUCAGAUGUGUUUGUCUCACUCAGUGUGACGUAGAAGGAAAAUUGAAGAGAGAACAUAACAAACUAGUUGAGACGAACCUUGAUUAUUUGUAGGGUGUUAUUUCCCCUCUAUGGUCUCAUGUCUUUCCUUGGGCUCUUAUUGAAGAAAAUGGAAAGAACUUUGGGUAGUAACGCGUUAUUAGUAACCCCGGUACUUUAUUCAGUAACUAAUAAUGUAAUUCGUUUUUUUUUUAAUUCAGUAACUCCAUUUCUGCUACCAAACGCUGCGUUACUCCAUUCCUUUUGGUGAGGUUUUACAACAGCACUCAGUUCCCAUAACAUUUUAGCGAUCAGUAAAGUUGAAUUGAAUUGGAAAAACAAAGCACUUGUCACCCUCUAGCAUCACACACGUAAUCAAACAUGCGCCAUGAAGAGGACUGAACAGGUCAGGGCACGGCAUGAUGGCGAGCGUGAAGGGGAAGAUAAGCUUCUCCUCAUGGAGAUACUUACAUUAUUUUGAACUCGAGAGCAAAGGGAAAAACAACAUUUCGGUAACAUGUAAACUAUGUCCCGGGUUAAAAUUCCUUUUUGCAAACAAUAUCAACAGCAAUCUACUGAAGCACCUAGAGAAGCCGCAUGCUUCAACAAAGUUAGCAGCUAAGGUAAUGCAGCAUCGGCAACCAAGAGUCACAGCAGCGAGUACAAACCCACUCCA